GACAGAGGGUGCAAACGUUGUUCGGAAUUACUGGGCGUAAGGCGUGUGUAGGCGGCCUUGCAAGUCGGAUGUGAAAGCCCCGGGCUCAACCCGGGAAGUGCACCCGAAACUGCAAGGCUCGAGUACCGGAGAGGUUGGUGGAAUUCUCGGUGUAGAGGUGAAAUUCGUAGAUAUCGAGAGGAACACCGGUGGCGAAGGCGGCCAACUGGACGAGUACUGACGCUGAGACACGAAAGCGUGGGGAGCAAACAGG
rnacentral:rRNA from 1 species